UACGUAGGGUGCAAGCGUUGUCCGGAAUUAUUGGGCGUAAAGAGCUCGUAGGCGGCUUUCUAAGUCGGGGGUGAAAUCCUGGAGCUCAACUCCAGAACUGCCUUCGAUACUGGAGAGCUUGAGUCCGGGAGAGGUGAGUGGAACUGCGAGUGUAGAGGUGAAAUUCGUAGAUAUUCGCAAGAACACCAGUGGCGAAGGCGGCUCACUGGCCCGAUACUGACGCUGAGGCACGAAAGCGUGGGGAGCAAACAGG
rnacentral:rRNA from 1 species